rnacentral:lncRNA from 1 species
UGGAGCCAGUCUUCCCAAGGUGAAAUCCUAACUUUGCCACUUACUAGCCAUGUGAACUUGGGCAAGUGACCUAAUCCUCUGCAUUUCAUCUCUAAAUUGGGGAGAAUAGAAGCAUCUACUUCAUGUAGUAGCCAGGAUUAGAAGAGGAACCCUGGAAUCACAGACUGUCAUGACUUGUCUAAUGUGCUUUCUGGCACAUGCUUUUUACAUGCUGCACCAAUACUGGGUCUAGCUGCAGCUUGGCUGGGUCGCAGAGGCUGAAGAGGGAGCUAAGCCUGGAGAGCUGGGUUAAGUCAGACAGACCCAAAAUCUCUUACACUGAGUCUCAACUUAUUGUCCCUUGUGACUCCAAGGUCAACUUCCCUUCCCUGUUGGCUGAGGAUCCAGGUUCUUGGAGCCCCACUGUAGAAAGACUGCUGAUAUCCCAGAAUUCCAAGGUGGAUGUGCAGAUGAGAUUUCCAGUGACACCCAGCAGACUUCACGCAGAAGGUGGCAUAGUGUAGAGACGGGGCAUUCAUGCUUUACCCUUAGAGAGGCGUUGCUUUGAAUCUGCAUCUGCCCCUUCUUUUGCCUUUGCCCCUACAGAUUCAGGACCACGGCCAGCACCCACACUGCCUUCCGUAAACACUGAGCUAAAUAAACCUAGAGCCUUGGUGAUGAGAUCAGCACUGCCUUUGUAAGUUGGUUUUCUCAACAAACAUCAACUGAACAUCUACUAAACGUAAGAGCACUCUGGCUGUCAACUGAAAACAGCAGCAGCAGCAGCAGCAGCAGCAACACCACCACCAACAACAACGACAACUGUUGCAUAUAUAACUGAAGAUCCACAGAGUCCCUCUUUCCAGUGUUAGUUGCUACAAGGAGUGAGAGAAUGAAGAUCUGACCUCAAGGAAUACAAGAGUUUUGUUCAAAGUUCCAAGACUAAGCUAUUAGAAGGGAGGGAGGGCCUGGUGCCAUGUCAUCUCUGACCAAGAGAAUUGGUAGAAUAGAAAUAAUCUAUUUCUCACGUGGUCUAGGACUUGACAAUUUACAUAGCAGUUUUAUAUCCUCUACUUCAUUUGACAUGCUCCCAUCACCCUGUGAAGCAUGUGUCAUUGUUACCACUCACUUUCCAGAUAAGGAGAGAUGGGGAGGCUCAGGGAGGUGAAUGGAUUUGCCUGAGGCCACUGGUCAGUGACUGAGCUGGGAUAGGAAUUACUUUCUCUGGUCUCUUGAUCUCACCUCUUUGUCUCACUCUUUCUGCUGCAUCUCAGUUGCUUCUGCGUCUGGCCAGACCCAAAAACAAAUCAUGUAAUUGAGUUGGAAUGUGGGUGCUGGGGCCCGGGAGACAAUGUUUUCUGCUUUUCAAUCUGUUCUUAAUUUAUUAAAGUGAUGAAAUAAGGAAGAGGCCCAGAAGGGUGGAUGUUUUCCAUCAGUGAGUCAGGGGAACAUGCAGAGGCAGAAGGUCAGGAGGAAGCUGCUGUUGCUCCAGCAGCUUCACCCACUCUGGCCAAGUCCCCACAGAUGUGCUGGUGGGGGAGACCUUCUUAGAGCUGCCCCAAGAGUAAAAUAAACCAGAAAAGAGCAAGCCCUACUGGAGACUCUCUCCCUCCCCACAAUGUUAUCUCUGACUACCCGAGCACCUUCCCUCUUAUCUGACAAAUGUCCAUUGUCUAAGGGAGAGACCGAGUGAAGGCAGGAGGAGGCCUAAUUCAGCCUGAGGAGGGUCAGGAAAGGCUUUCUAGAGAAGGUGACACUGGCACCUUAGACUUGAAAGCUGAAAAGAAGUGAUCUGGGAAAGGGGGAUGAGGAGGAGAAAGUGUUUUCCAGGUGGAGGAAAUAGCAGGUGGGAGGUUUGGAGAUAAGAGAGGGAAUGGCUGGAGCCAUCAGGGUGGAGAGAUGAGGCUGGACCGGCAGAGGGGUUGGCAGUGCUGGUAUCCAGAGGGCCUUCCAGGUCAGGUUGUUAUAUCUCCUCUGAGGAAGAGUCCUGAUUGUUAGCUCAAUUUAUGUGGUUAGGCAUAGAGAAUGGAUUGCAGGAGACAGUGGCAACCCAAGGCAAGUAAUAAAAAGGCUAGAGAGUUGGUGGGGCCUGAGUAGGGGGCAGUGGGAAUAGGGAUCAAGAGACAGAGAGGUGGAGG